GAGUUUGAUCUUGGCUCAGAUUGAACGCUGGCGGCAGGCCUAACACAUGCAAGUCGAGCGGAUGACGGGAGCUUGCUCCUUGAUUCAGCGGCGGACGGGUGAGUAAUGCCUAGGAAUCUGCCUGGUAGUGGGGGACAACGUUUCGAAAGGAACGCUAAUACCGCAUACGUCCUACGGGAGAAAGCAGGGGACCUUCGGGCCUUGCGCUAUCAGAUGAGCCUAGGUCGGAUUAGCUAGUUGGUGGGGUAAUGGCUCACCAAGGCGACGAUCCGUAACUGGUCUGAGAGGAUGAUCAGUCACACUGGAACUGAGACGCGGUCCAGACUCCUACGGGAGGCAGCAGUGGGGAAUAUUGGACAAUGGGCGAAAGCCUGAUCCAGCCAUGCCGCGUGUGUGAAGAAGGUCUUCGGAUUGUAAAGCACUUUAAGUGGGAGGAGGGCAGUAAGUUAAUACUUGCUGUUUGACGUUACCGACAGAAUAAGCACCGGCUAACUCUGU
rnacentral:rRNA from 1 species